AGGUGUAAGUACAGUAAUGUAUUAAGCUGACCAAUACUAAUAGACCGAGGGCUUGACCUAAUAUAUA
rnacentral:rRNA from 1 species